UGUCAAGGGAGUAAAGUUGGCCGUGUCGUUUUCAGCUAUCGUAAACAAACGUGGAAUAAGUCGAGGUUCUUGUUCCAACAUACGCUGAAAAAAUUCACCUUUACUUUCAGUCAAAGCAUCAAGACCUAUAAAUGAUUUUUCACCAACGUAUGUAGCAUUCGUUCCUACUACUUUCAGUAGAUACGUACCACAAUGCGGACCGCGUAGUCUACUACACUCAAGAUCAGUGAGGUUGAAGCGUAUGGCGGUAGCGAGCCCAAUGAAGAAGAGAAAUAUUAAGUUUUU